CGCGUAGGCGGCCUGAUAAGUAGGGGGUGAAAUCCUGCGGCUUAACUGCAGGGCUGCCUCCUAGACUGUCGGGCUCGAGCACGGUAGAGGCAGAUGGAAUUCCCGGUGUAGCGGUGGAAUGCGUAGAGAUCGGGAAGAGCAUCGGUGGCGAAGGCGGUCUGCUGGGCCGUUGCUGACGCUGAGGCGCGACAGCGUGGGGAGCAAGCA
rnacentral:rRNA from 1 species